GACGAACGCUGGCGGCGUGCUUAACACAUGCAAGUCGAACGGAAAGGCCCUGCUUUUGUGGGGUGCUCGAGUGGCGAACGGGUGAGUAACACGUGAGUAACCUGCCCUUGACUUUGGGAUAACUUCAGGAAACUGGGGCUAAUACCGGAUAGGAGCUCCUGCUGCAUGGUGGGGGUUGGAAAGUUUCGGCGGUUGGGGCUGGACGCGCGGCUUAUCAGCUUGUUGGUGGGGGAGUGGCUUACCAAGGCUUUGACGGGUAGCCGGCCUGAGAGGGUGACCGGCCACAUUGGGACUGCGAUACGGCCCAGACUCCUACGGGAGGCAGCAGUGGGGAAUAUUGCACAAUGGGCGGAAGCCUGAUGCGGCAACGCCGCGUGCGGGAUGACGGCCUUCGGGUUGUAAACCGCUUUCGCCUGUGACGAAGCGUGAGUGACGGUAAUGGGUAAAGAAGCACCGGCUAACUACGUG
rnacentral:rRNA from 1 species